rnacentral:rRNA from 1 species
CCUACGAGAGGCUGCAGUGGGGAAUAUUGCACCAAGGGGGGAACCCUGAUGCAGCAAUGCCGCGUGAAGGAUGAAGGUUUUCGGAUUGUAAACUUCUUUUGUACGGGACGAAGAAAGUGACGGUACCGUAAGAAUAAGCCACGGCUAACUACGUGACAGCAGACGCGGGAAGACGUAGGUGGCAAGCGGUAUCCGGAUUUACUGGGGUGAAAGGGCGAGUAGGCGGGAUUGCAAGUCAGAUGUGAAAACUAUGGGCUCAACCGAUAGAGUGAAUUUGAAACUGCAGUUAUUGAGUGAUGUGGAGGCAGGCGGAAUUCCCGGUGUAGCGGUGGAAUGCGGAGAUAUCGGGAUGAACACCAGUGGCGAAGGCGGCCUGCUGGACAUUAACUGACGCUGAGGCGCGAAAGCGUGGGGAGCAAGCAGGAUUAGAUACCCUAGUAGUC